ensembl:lncRNA
GCCCACCUGAGGUCAAUUGCCCUCUAACUGGCUCUAUCCCCUUCCCUUGGGGAAUGAAGACUGCCACGAUGCUGUCUGCUGCACACUCUGGGGUGUCCUCCAGGACCUUGCUUCAGCCAUUGUAUUCAUUGCAGAAGGCAAGUUGUUGAUGAAGAAGACGAGAAGAGUGCAUAGGACCAAGAAUUCUCAAGAGCCAGAAGGGGAUAAGUCUUCUUCUGAAACUAAAAGGAGACAUGAAUCAUGGAUACAAAUAGAAGAUGUCUUUGGAAAGAGAAAGAAGGCAGUUCACAGCAGACUUCUCUUAUUCAGUCUUGGUCAGAUGUCUCAGUCAUCUUGCUCCUCCCCUUUCAGCUUCUCUCUGUUGUUGCUGGUGCUCUCUAAAGCUUCUGUCUUAGGCCCUAUUCCUUCUGAGCUGCCAACUUCUCCUUCAUGUUUGUACCAUAUGAGAAGACUCAAAACCCGGAAAAUAUUCUAAAAUUAGUUAUGCAGGCACUCAAAAACAUAUUGAGAACACUUUCUUGCUAGUUGUUCACGGAUUCCAGAUCAUCUCAGUUUGAUUCCAUGAGCUAUGGAAAACCCCCCAAACUGAAGUUUGUAUGUACAUAAUUUCCUCUCCGUGAAUAAACUGAUCCUUGAGCCAAAGCAUCCUGGCAGACCCAUAUCAAUUUGACAUCCUGUAGACGGAUUUAGAUCUAACCACUUUUUCUCAGAACACUUCAAAGCUUCAUUUUUAAAAUAAUAGUUAUUAUAACAAAAAAUUAAUCUUAAAAUUAUGUUUUAAAAAUGUUUUAGAAGAUACUAC